CGAUUGUAGUCAUAUGCUUGUCUCGAAGAUUAAGCCAUGCAUGUCCAAGUACAGCGUACUGGGAGCGGCGCGUUCGUCCGGGUUUACGCCCGGGCGGGCUGCGUCGUUCCCUCAACACAGCGAAACUGCGGAUGGCUCAGUAAAACAGUGUGAAUCCCCAGGGCGGUUUCCGCGGUUGUUUUCUUCGGAGGGCAAUCGCUCUACAAGGAUAACUGUGGAAACUCCAGAGCUAAUACUUGAAACCAGGCGGGGCAACCCGUCGGGUUUAUCAGUUGCGCACGUCGGGCAACCGGCGUGUCUGGUGAAUCAUGGUAAACCCAGAUCGAAGAGCCGCAAGGCGUCGACUCGCUCCUCGAGUCUCUGACCUAUCAGCCUUCGACGCUACUAUAAAGUACUAGCAGGGCAGUCACGGGUGACGGGGAAUUAGUGUUCGAUUCCGGAGAGGGAGCCUGAGAAAUGGCUACCAUGUCCAUGGACAGCAGCAGGCGCGCAAAUUACCCAAUCCUAAUGCAAGGGAGGUAGUGAAGAGAAAUAUCGGCGUCCCGCCCUGCGGGAGGUUCGGAAUGGUGACAAUUUAAACCACUUACAGAGUAUCGAUUGGAGGGCAAGUCUGGUA
rnacentral:rRNA from 1 species